UUCUAUUAGAACUCAUUAAUAGUAUAAUCUGCUCAAUGAAAUUUAAAUAGCCGCAGAAUCUGUGCUAAGGUAGCAUAAUCAUUCGUCUUUUAAUUGAAGACUAGAACAAAAGAUUAAACGUUUAAAUUCAUAUUUCUACCUAAAAUACUCAAACUUAUCUUAAAUGUAAAAAGACAUUUAUAUAAAAGAAAGACGACAAGACCCUAUUGAACUUUACUUAAGUUUAACUGGGGCAGUUAAUUAAUAAAUACUUUAAUUUAAAUACCUUUCAAAAAGAUCCAAUAACAUUGACAAUUGAUCAAGUUACCAUAGGGAUAACAGCGUAAUAAUCUUUUAAAGCUCAUAUAUAAACAAUAAUUUGCGACCUCGAUGUUGAAUAAUUACCUAUCCCGCGCAAGAGCGGGAUAAAGGAAGUCUGUUCGACUUUUAAACAAUUACA
rnacentral:rRNA from 1 species